AGGAAGCAUUGGAUUCUUGAGGAGACACUACAAGCGGUUGGCGCUAAGGCAAUGGUGGUUGGGCAUCCUCUUCAAACUAUAGGUGUAAAUUGGUAAGGAAAGAUAUGUCUUUAAGCAUGCUUAAAAUAACCUCUCAAAUUGUCACAAUCUUUAGGUGGAGUGAUAAUUUGUGUAUUGAUAUACAACUUGAAUUAUUACAUUAAGUUGCAGAUACUAUAUCUAGGUCUGCUAGUGCAUUGUUGAUGGAAUUCUUCUGUUCAUUGAAAUCAGUUCCUUGUUUCUUCUUACAGUAAGUACAAUUGUAGCAUAUGGCGCAUAGAUGUCGGGAUGUCCAGUGGAGUUCUUAAUUCCAGACCAGAGAAGCUUGGCCCCUAUUGUAGAAAGGUACUUAGCUUGAGCUGAAAAAACUAGCAGUUGAGUUGUUUUGGAAAGACCGUCAUCAUCCAUAUCGUAAAAAGAAGAAAGCUUUCAACGGAAAAUCAGAGUAUGGUAAAAGAAAAGCUGCUCAAAAUUAUGUGACU